UCCAGUAAGCUAUUCAUAUUCACAGACUGGUGCUAGUAAAAUCUGUCAUCCCCUUUUCUCAGAAGAAACAACACUAGAACUUUCCACAACAGACACAAUUACUGGUAAGUGUGUUUAUAUAUAUAUAUAUAUAUAUAUAUAUAUAUAUAUAUAUAUAUAUAUAUAUAUAUAUAUAUAUAUAAAUAUAUAUAUAUAUAUAUAUAUAUAUUAGAUAAUUCCUUUUUUAAUUUCCCUAUUUAAUACUUAAACUCUUUUAUCUCUGUGUAUCUCUGCAGACACAACAUCACUGCAACCAACAACAGAAAACACCACAACAGACACAUCUAUUAGUAUAAAUUUAACAGACACAACAUUACUGCAAACAACAACAGAAACCACCACAACAGAAACAACUAUUGGCACAACUGUUCCAACAACAAUACCGGAGACAACAACAGAAACGACCACAACAGACACAACUAUUGGCACAACUGCUCUAACAACAAUACUGGAGACAACAACAGAAACGACCACAACAGACACAACUAUUGGCACAACUGUUCUAACAACAAUACUUGAGCCAACAACAGAAACGACCACAACAGACACACCUAUUGGCACUACUGUUGUAACAACAUUACUGCAGCCAACAACAGAAACGACCACAACAGACACACCUAUUGACACAUUCCUCACAAUAACUGCAUCUUCAACCACUAUUUCCUCAACUACUGUUCCCUCUACUAUUGUUCCCACAAAUGCAACUUCAGCACCACCAGGAAAUGUGAUGGUCAUGCGCCUAAAAGUUAUUUCAGUCAAAAACUUGAUGGCAGCGAACAGCUCCCAGUUAUUCCUCCAACAGCUCAAAGAGAUCCUAAUAAGCCGAGGAGUUUCAGACAACUUCACACUUCAACUGAGAUCCAUUAGCAAGAAGUCACCCUAGAAGGUGGAGGUUGUGGGAGUCUUCAAUAACACGUUGCUUAUUAACGUCCUAAAUAACUUUUCUAAAAUGUAUUAUAAAGUCAUUUUCUGAUAAGACAAUAUAGAUAAACCUAGAAGAUAAAAUGAAGCAAAAGCUAAAAUCACAUACAUAGCAAUAUUUUUUAUAAACAAUGAUCUGUGAACUAUAAGAACACCUCUUGUGUUUACUUUAGCUAUAAAUUUGCAUAAGAACAUAUAAUUU
rnacentral:lncRNA from 1 species